rnacentral:lncRNA from 1 species
GGUUUACACACUUCUUGUGGAGAAGGAGCAGGAGAGGGACCACCACCAAGAGGUUAAGCCUGAGUUUGGUCUUCUGUUACUUGGAACUGAAAUAAUGUGCAUUGACACACCUAACAAGUCAAAGUAUUGUCUUUUGCUGGUCUGCUCUGGUCCUGGAAACAUCCACUGAUAGAAUCACUGGUCUGGGACAAAUUGUGGUACCCAAAGACCUCAGGAAGCACUUAGAAGCAUUACUCCUGAAGUCCCAUUCGUCCCAAGAAGAGUUGCUGGCUGGAGGAGACAAUAUGUAAACAUGUCAUGACAAGAUGGUGUGCCAUCAAGUCUGAGAUAAUCUGUUAUGGCAACGUAAGAAGCUAAUACAAGAUGCAGGAGUGAAGCAGCGAGGUCUGGAAAAAAGCUAUUGCAAAAAUACAGUCUCAGCAAGGGGAUAGAAGGAGCCCUGCAUUCUCUCCUGACACGCUUGACAAAAACAAACCCAACUAGAGGUCGCCAGCAACGGAGGGGCAUCCUGUGUAAGGACUUGGAAGAGGAGUUGUAUUGUCACCCCCUGGCCACUAGAGGACUUCAUCCUAUUUCAGUGGAGGAAGGCCUGUUAGGGGCCUCUCUAUACUGGUGGAGGUUUGGUCGUCUUCCCUUCACUUGAUUUCUGCCAGUGGCCUUAUGUGAGGAUGCUUCAUGAGAUGUCAAGUAUCCGAGGAGUCUGUGACACAACCAUCCAGUGGUGAAUUGCUAAGGAGCUCCUCUCCAGCCUGCUUGACUCUGAGGUUAAAAGAGUCUUCAUGUUGAGCACAAGUCAUCUCUUUGCACUUUCACCAGUUGUGUCCAUCUGAAAAACACAGAGGUCUGUCUCACUUCUGCAUCACAGUCCCUUCCAAGAAGCUCCACAAUGGAGACAGCAGGGUUCAGGCUUCGAGUUGUGGUGCAAUUGGCCCACAUCCACCCCACCCUCUCUUCACGCAGCAGAUGACUGGGACAUAAAGAAGCUGAUGGGGCCACUGCCACCGAAUUUCCACCUGCAGCCCUUCUCGGGGGCCACCACCAUGCUCCUCAACAGCUGUCACUGACAGGACAGAGCUUGAGGAUCUUGAGGAGCUACUGACCCUGCAGAACCGCUCUGAGACCAGGGGGAGCUUUUCCAGUAGAAUGAAAGGAUUGCUUCUGCUUUAACCUCUGAUGCUUUAUCAAGGCCGAGCUGAGGGCUGCACUAUCGGGAGCUUGAUGAGGAAACUGAGGCACAGAGAGAUGAAGGAACUUGCCCAAGGUCACACAGCUGAGGAACCCAGGCACUCAGAUUCUGGGGCCUGCUCUCAUAACCACAAUGCUACAUCCCUGCCUCUAACAUCGGGACAACCAGGCCUUCCUCACAGGCAUUAUCGGGACUAUAAGAUAAGAUGCAUAAGGUUUUAUCUCCAGAGAGAAGGCAGCUAUGGUCCAAGGUCAAACACAGAGGCUACAACUAGAAACCUCUAGACCAAGUUUGGUCCAUGUGGUGUUCUCUAUAGAGUUUCUUUCUUUUUAAUUUGGAUUUUCAAUACUUUAAAAUUAAGAGCACACA